rnacentral:piRNA from 8 species
UUAACCGAAAGGUUGGUGGUUCGAGC